CCUACGGGUGGCAGCAGUCGAGAAUCAUUCACAAUGGGGGAAACCCUGAUGGUGCGACGCCGCGUGGGGGAAUGAAGGUCUUCGGAUUGUAAACCCCUGUCAUGUGGGAGCAAAUUAAAAAGAUAGUACCACAAGAGGAAGAGACGGCUAACUCUGUGCCAGCAGCCGCGGUAAUACAGAGGUCUCAAGCGUUGUUCGGAAUCACUGGGCGGAAAGCGUGCGUAGGCUGUUGCGUAAGUCGUGUGUGAAAGGCGCGGGCUCAACCCGCGGACGGCACAUGAUACUGCGAGAUUAGAGUAAUGGAGGGGGAACCGGAAUUCUCGGUGUAGCAGUGAAAUGCGUAGAUAUCGAGAGGAACACUCGUGGCGAAGGCGGGUUCCUGGACAUUAACUGACGCUGAGGCACGAAGGCCAGGGGAGCGAAAGGGAUUAGAUACCCCUGUAGUC
rnacentral:rRNA from 1 species